rnacentral:rRNA from 1 species
UAGGGAAUCUUCCACAAUGGACGCAAGUCUGAUGGAGCAACGCCGCGUGAGUGAAGAAGGUUUUCGGACCGUAAAGCUCUGUUGUUGGUGAAGAAGGAUAGAGGUAGUAACUGGCCUUUAUUUGACGGUAAUCAACCAGAAAGUCACGGCUAACUACGUGCCAGCAGCCGCGGUAAUACGUAGGUGGCAAGCGUUGUCCGGAUUUAUUGGGCGUAAAGCGAGCGCAGGCGGAAGAAUAAGUCUGAUGUGAAAGCCCUCGGCUUAACCGAGGAAUUGCAUCGGAAACUGUUUUCUUGAGUGCAGAAGAGGAGAGUAGAACUCCAUGUGUAGCGGUGGAAUGCGUAGAUAUAUGGAAGAAUACCAGUGGCGAAGGCGGCUCUCUGGUCUGCAACUGACGCUGAGGCUCGAAAGCAUGGGUAGCGAACAGGAUUAGAUACC